AAUAAUAAAAACUGGGCAUGGAUUGAGAGGGUUUGAUACAGGUUUAAUUAUCUUGGAAUCAAACUCAUCACAACCUGCUUGGUAUUCCCAGGAUUUGACCAUAUAUGGUCACGCCCAUAUGGCUCCUUCCUGAUCCUUCCCACCUCCUUUCUUCUGUCACAAUGAAGGCAAACCAAUCAUGAAGCUCCCACGUCACAAUGGUUUACAUCCUCCUGGGUCAUAUUGCAACCCACCAUAUGCGUCUGGCUCAUUUGCCCUUAGACUCUCCCAGGGAUCGCAGCCUCUCUGAGGUUUGCCUAGUCCCAUGCAGGUAAUGCCCACUGAGCUCAAUGGAUCUUACAUGAAGGUAAGUAUAUUUUGGGUUGCUGCCAAGAUUCUGUUCUUGGUGGGAAUCCAACUUCCAUUGGGCAAGAAGUCAUGUUCGGAGAAGAAGAAGUGAUGAGGUCCCAUGAGUCAAGAAAACAAGAACAUGGUGAGUGGCUGUCAAAUAGGGAUUGCCUAUCUAUCCAUUGUUUGAGUGGCACCAUGAUGUAGGCAUUUUACAUCAGAGAUGUAUUUGUUGUACUAUCUAGUUAAUUGACAGAGAUGUUUAAUUUAGGGUCCAUGUUUCUCUUGGGACGAGGACAUGUAGAAGACCUUGUCCAGAUAGGAUCUAUGCAUCAAGUAGAGGGUCGUACUUCACUGAGAUGCCAAAACAAUCUCACCUCGAAUCACGUCUUUUUGGUGGGGUUGGUGUCCAAGACAACGAGGCAGACUGGUGGUGAGAUACAUCACAGUGCACAACAAUAGGCCCAUUGCACCACAUGCGUCUGGCUCAUUUGACCUUAGACUCUCUAGGGAUCACAGCUUCUCUGAGGUUUGCCCAGUCCCAUGCAGGUAAGGCCCACUGAGCUCAA
rnacentral:lncRNA from 1 species